rnacentral:rRNA from 1 species
UACGGAGGGUGCAAGCGUUAAUCGGAAUUACUGGGCGUAAAGCGUGCGCAGGCGGUUUGUUAAGUCUGCUGUGAAAUCCCCGAGCUCAACUUGGGAAUUGCAGUGGAUACUGGCAGGCUGGAGUAUGGUAGAGGAAGGUGGAAUUCCGGGUGUAGCGGUGGAAUGCGUAGAGAUCCGGAAGAACACCGGUGGCGAAGGCGGCUCUCUGGGACGGUACUGACGCUGAGACGCGAAAGCGUGGGGAGCGAACAGG